rnacentral:rRNA from 1 species
AUUGCACAAUGGGCGCAAGCCUGAUGCAGCCAUGCCGCGUGUGUGAAGAAGGCUCUAGGGUUGUAAAGCACUUUCAGUCGGGAGGAAAGCUUGUAGAUUAAUACUCUGCAAGUGUGACGUUACCGACAGAAGAAGCACCGGCUAACUCCGUGCCAGCAGCCGCGGUAAUACGGAGGGUGCAAGCGUUAAUCGGAAUUACUGGGCGUAAAGCGCACGUAGGUGGUUCGUUAAGUUGGAUGUGAAAGCCCCGGGCUCAACCUGGGAACUGCAUUCAAAACUGAUGAGCUAGAGUAUGGUAGAGGUGAGUGGAAUUUCCUGUGUAGCGGUGAAAUGCGUAGAGAUGGGAAGGAACAUCAGUGGCGAAGGCGACUCACUGGACCAAUACUGACACUGAGGUGCGAAAGCGUGGGUAGCAAACAGGAUUAGAUACCCUGGUAGUCCACGCCGU